GUCAAUGGCCUAACGGCUGAACCAGCAACUUGCAGGAAUGAGAGUUAAUAUAAAAGAUUUAUUAACUUGCUUGACUAGGUCUUAUAAAGUUCUGGAUAAAGCUGAUAAUGACAACUUUAUAUCCAUAGGUCUCGACUAAAUCUUGUGCCAGCAGUCGCGGUAAGACAAGGGAGACAAGUGUUAUUCAUCUUGAACAGGUAUAUUGGGUACCUAGACUGUGAAUUAAGGCUUAAAUGGUACCUUAUACACUAGAGUUUAAUAUGUGAGAGGUAGAUGUCAGAAUUAUUAGAGGAGAGAUGAAAUCCUUUUAUACUAAUAGGACUGAUCAUGGCGAAGGCAAACCUUUAUGUAUAUCUACUUUUAGUUUACUUUAUAAUAGAAGUAAUUUAUAGCCAAAAAGGACUAUAAAGCUAAAAAGUACUAAACUGACGUUGAGGGACGAAGGCUCAGAGAGUGAAGAGGAUUAGAUACCCCCGUAGCCUGGGCAGACAAUGAUGAGUGCCAUAGGUUGGCUUUUAGUUGAACUAUAAAUGAAAGUGGAAGCACUCCACCUCAAGAGUAAUGUGGCAACGCAGGAACUGAAAUCAUUAGACCGUUU
rnacentral:rRNA from 1 species